UACGUAGGGGGCAAGCGUUGUCCGGAAUCAUUGGGCGUAAAGAGCGCGUAGGCGGCCCUGUAAGUCCGCUGUGAAAGUCAAGGGCUCAACCCUUGGAUGCCGGUGGAUACUGCAGGGCUAGAGUCCGGAAGAGGCGAGUGGAAUUCCUGGUGUAGCGGUGAAAUGCGCAGAUAUCAGGAGGAACACCAAUGGCGAAGGCAGCUCGCUGGGACGUGACUGACGCUGAGACGCGAAAGCGUGGGGAGCAAACGGG
rnacentral:rRNA from 1 species